AAAUUUUUAGUUUAGUUGUGCUUAAGCAUUCGGCAUUAAUAGUUGAUAUUAGCUAUGAAAGUAUGAAAGAUUAGAGAUUAUUUUUUUAAAAUGAAUUAUGACCUUAAUAUGAACAAGAUAGAAAGUCGGUUAUAGAUGUGAUUGAGUGAUUCGGUCAUUGAUGGGCAUUAUGGUAACCUAAUUGUAGUUUGCUACCUUUAAUUUCGAGAUGGAAAUUGUAUAUAUAAGCUAAGUUGAGC
rnacentral:lncRNA from 1 species